ensembl:snoRNA SNORD29 Small nucleolar RNA SNORD29
UUUCUGUGAUGAAUCAAACUAGCUCACUAUGAUUGACAGUGAAAAUACACGAACACCUGAGAAAC